GACGAACGCUGGCGGCGUGCUUAACACAUGCAAGUCGAACGGAAAGGCCCUGCUUUUGUGGGGUGCUCGAGUGGCGAACGGGUGAGUAACACGUGAGUAACCUGCCCUUGACUUUGGGAUAACUUCAGGAAACUGGGGCUAAUACCGGAUAGGAGCUCCUGCUGCAUGGUGGGGGUUGGAAAGUUUCGGCGGUUGGGGAUGGACUCGCGGCUUAUCAGCUUGUUGGUGGGGUAGUGGCCUACCAAGGCUUUGACGGGUAGCCGGCCUGAGAGGGUGACCAGCCACAUUGGGACUGAGAUACGGCCCAGACUCCUACGGGAGGCAGCAGUGGGGAAUAUUGCACAAUGGGCGGAAGCCUGAUGCAGCAACGCCGCGUGCGGGAUGACGGCCUUCGGGUUGUAAACCGCUUUCGCCUGUGACGAAGCGUGAGUGACGGUAAUGGGUAAAGAAGCACCGGCUAACUACGUG
rnacentral:rRNA from 1 species